rnacentral:rRNA from 1 species
GUGGAUUAGAUACCCUAGUAGUCCACGCCGUAAACGAUGAAUGCCAGCCGUUAGUGGGUUUACUCACUAGUGGCGCAGCUAACGCUUUAAGCAUUCCGCCUGGGGAGUACGGUCGCAAGAUUAAAACUCAAAGGAAUUGACGGGGGCCCGCACAAGCGGUGGAGCAUGUGGUUUAAUUCGACGCAACGCGCAGAACCUUACCAGCCCUUGACAUGUCCGGGACCGGUCGCAGAGAUGUGACCCUCUCUUCGGAGUCCGGAACACAGGUGCUGCACGGCCGUCGUCAACU